ensembl:lncRNA
CACCUUCCGGCACUAUGUCAGACAAUACUCCAUUGCUAUUCACAGGGUUUUCAUAGCCAAUCUUUUCGGAAGUGGGUGGCCAGAUUCUUCUUCCUAGUCUCUUAGUCUGGAUGCUCCACUGAAGGCUGUCCACCAUGGGUGACCCUGCUGGUAUAUGAAAUACUGGAGUCAUAGCUUUCAGCAUCACAGCAACACACAGCCACUACAGUAGGACAACCGACAGAAGGGUGGUGUGGUUCCCCAACGAGAAACAAACCCAAACCGGAAGCUGAACCCCAGGCCCAGCGGUAAGAGACUCUUAACCACUAGACCAUCAAGGAUGGCUCCUUUCCAUAUAUCACAUAUAAACAAAACCCUAGUUCUGGAACACAAUAGAAUACUUGCUUCUUAGGAAUACUGAAUGUAUAAUAAAUGCUUUAAAGAAGAACAAAAGAGAUGCCUCAGAGACAACAUGGUAAGUUAACUUGUCUAUACAGGUCCAGAAAUUUGUUUGAACUUUCCAAUACAUUUUGUCCAUUGUGGCAUUACCUAUCUAUUUAUUUUAACUUUAGUGCUGACUAUAAAAGUGUUUAUAAUUAAAAAAGAAAAACUUUGGGCCAGCCUGGUGGUGUAGUGGUUAAGUUCACGUGCUCUGCUUCAGCAACCCAGGGUUCACAAGUUUGGGUCCCGGGUGCGGACCUAGCAUGGCUCAUCAAGCCAUGCUGUGCCAGCAAACCACAUAAAAUAGAGGAAGAUUGGCACAGAUGUUGGCUCAGCAAUAAUCCUCCUCAAGCAAAAAGAGGAAGUUUGGUAACAGAUGUUUGCUCAGGGCCAAUCUUCCUCACAAAAAAAAAAGAAAAACUUUACAAAAUGCAAAAAUAAUAAGAUCCUGAUAAAGAUCUGGCCUGAUUUUGAUCUGCAACAAUGCAAGCACUAUAUAAAAAAAAAAAUCUCUUCUCCUUUUCUCUUGUUUUGUUCCCUACUUCCAUAUGGUCCCUUCAUGCACACACAGUUGCUGCUGUAGUUGCUACUACAGUCACCCACAACUCCUACAUUGCUCAACCCAGCUUCUAGAACAUUUGCCCACUUUGCAAUAGGAGACACUCAGCCUCAAUCCUCCCAUUUAAUUCCUCUGAAGGAGAGAGGAGGGAGGAGGCAUGGGGUUGAUUAGAAUUCAGAGAUAUUAGGACUCAGGAUUCAGAAACAGCUUUAGGGAAGUUCAAGGUUAACACUAUUAAUAUUGUUUCAACUACCCUAUGGAUGCAAAGGAGAAAAGGAUGGUUAUGUUUCUCCUCCUGGUUUCUAGUGCUUUCUAGUGGAUCCCAAAAUUUUGUUUUAAUUAGCAUGGUAAUACAUACACCCGCAGAUUAAAUAAAAAACUCAGGGUUCUAUUUCCACUUAUGAUGUUGAAUGCCAUAAAAGAACAUUUUUCCCACUCUAACAACAACAACAACAAAGUCAGAUGAUCUACAAAAUUAUAACAAUGCUUGAGCCCAUCAGAGAACUGAAAUCAUAAUGCCUCAACCAAUCUGAAUUCCAAAGAGGGACAAGCCUUUCCAAAGGGUGACUGGACACACAAACUGUUCAGCCUUUGGCAGAGCAAGGAAGAAAGAGGUGGUCACUCUCUAAGCAGGUCCAAGGCCCAAGAAGAGUGAGCCUCAAGUAAGCAGAUGCAGAGUCCACUGUUGAGCUGUACCCUGACCUUCAUCCAUCCUCUCAGCUGGUUGUUCCCUACUGGUCUCAGCUUCACCGUUCUGAACUUCCAUCUGUCCCAGCCCAUGAGGAGUAUUAAUUCCAUGGACCUCUGAUUUUCUUUUGGACAAACUGAAGCUGUCAAGGAAGGAAGGAAAAUAUAGAUAUAACUAUGAUCAUUCACAGUUAAAAGUUUAAAGCCAAGAGACCAUAAUUUUAUAAAUGAAGACAUGAACCAGCAGGUCUAUUUGGCUAUGGCUGAACGGAGAAGCCAUCAUGAUCACUAGAAGGUAGAAGAGCUUAGAGACAGCGUUUAUGGGCCACCUCCCCUUACCUCCAAAUAGUAAAAACAAGAAUUGAUGGAAUUUCU